rnacentral:rRNA from 1 species
CACGUAGGCUCCAAGCGUUGUCCGGAUUUAUUGGGCGUAAAGAGCUCGUAGGCGGUUUGGUAAGUCGGGUGUGAAAACUCUGGGCUUAACCCAGAGAGGCCACCCGAUACUGCCAUGACUUGAGUACGGUAGGGGAGUGGGGAAUUCCUGGUGUAGCGGUGAAAUGCGCAGAUAUCAGGAGGAACACCAGUGGCGAAGGCGCCACUCUGGGCCGAAACUGACGCUGAGGAGCGAAAGCGUGGGUAGCAAACAGG